CCACCAUGCGAUAUGCUAAAAUUCAUCCAGAAAAUGUCAAUUUUCUACUGCAAAUUUAAAGUAAACAGCAUCUACUGUGAAUUGCUAUAUUUUAAAGGGUCAGUAUACUCAAAUCACAGAUUGCUCUUGGUGGUAAUAAAAUCUCAAGAUCUUUUUUUUCCCCCAUUAGUAUCUAUGAAUUGUGAGCAUGCUCUUAUGUUUGAUGGAAGUACAGUACAUGUGCGUUGUUCAGUACAUGCAUUUUCUACACAUCUGAUCUGAUUGUCAUUCUAAACAUAACAUAUGGAUCUGAUUCUAAGAUUUAUUUUAAGAUUUUACUUAUUGAUUUUAAAGCCCUUUAUGGACUGUCCCCAAAUAUAUAUAUCAGAACUGCUGUAGCCUCACUAACUAUCACUCAAUCUGAGAUCCUCAGGCAGGAACCUGCUGAUUAUUUCCACCUUAUGCUCAAAGACAAAAGGGGACCAAACUUUUGCCGUUCAGGAUCUUCGGCUGUGAAAGGACCUGCAUGAGGAACUCCGGCUUGCUACUAUAGCUGAAGCGUAAAAGGGGAUGAAAGAGAGGAGAUGACAUACAGCAAAGGGCAGCAGGUUGCAGUCGAACCUGCAGCUACUGCAGCGAGGAAACAGCCUCUGUGCAUGGGAUGCCUGCUUUAAAAGGACGAAUAGAUGCAACCCUCUUCCACCCAAUUCACCUCCAGCCUUCAGCACACUACUGCCCAUUCCUGCUACUCAACCCAAUAUCUUCAUCUGUCAACCAAACAUGGAAAGGCAUG